GUCUGGUUCAUGGUGGCCUCCAUCAUGGGCGUGGUUGCCAGCCUCAUCUGCAGAGCUUGGCACGUGCCGCGAAGGACUGAGGAGGAGAUUUCCGGUGAGGCGUGUAGCUCGUGGGGAGCACAGAGCAGCGAUUCUGAAAUCUUCGACUC
rnacentral:SRP_RNA from 2 species